GAUGAACGCUGGCGACGUGCCUAAUACAUGCAAGUCGAGCGAACAGACGAGGAGCUUGCUCCUCUGACGUUAGCGGCGGACGGGUGAGUAACACGUGGAUAACCUACCUAUAAGACUGGGAUAACUUCGGGAAACCGGAGCUAAUACCGGAUAAUAUAUUGAACCGCAUGGUUCAAUAGUGAAAGACAGUUUUGCUGUCACUUAUAGAUGGAUCCGCGCCGCAUUAGCUAGUUGGUAAGGUAACGGCUUACCAAGGCGACGAUGCGUAGCCGACCUGAGAGGGUGAUCGGCCACACUGGAACUGAGACACGGUCCAGACUCCUACGGGAGGCAGCAGUAGGGAAUCUUCCGCAAUGGGCGAAAGCUUGACGGAGCAACGCCGCGUGAGUGAUGAAGGUCUUCGGAUCGUAAAACUCUGUUAUUAGGGAAGAACAAAUGUGUAAGUAACUAUGCACGUCUUGACGGUACCUAAUCAGAAAGCCACGGCUAACUACGUG
rnacentral:rRNA from 1 species